UACCCAAGACCCAAUAUACUAAAACCCACUUACAUUUCCAAACCCAAACCCGGGAGCCCAAUUAACCUACCCAAACUCAUUUACAACUAGACCCAAGCCCGGUUGACCCAUUAAACCCCUACCCUAAAAUCUAACUCAACACCAGCCCAAAUCCUACUAGCCCACUAACCAAAAACCCACCUAAACCCAAGUAGCCCCAAACAGACCUAACUAACCGAUGUUUCUGAAACCCUAACCUGCAGCGCCGCAACCACCCCAACUUGCCUCUGCCACCGGUCACGUCUGCCAUGCCCACCUGCUCCUCCAGCACCGGCCAUACCUGCAGAGCAAAUAAAGCACACAACAUCAACAAAAAAUAUAAAAAACAACAUGUAAAGGCUAUAAAAGCCGAUUGAGAAUUCUGUAAUGGGGGAUUUUUUUUUCUUUUUGAAAAUACAAAGAAAAUUUUCGGCAAAUGAAAAAAUAAGAAAGCAGUGACCAUUAAUAUUCACAAGCAGCAUAGAUUGAGACUAAAACAAUUCAAGAACACAGAAGCAAUAGUGAGUAUUCAAAGGAAAACCAAAGCAAACGGAAAUAAAGGUUACCUUUCUAUUUUUCUUCUAUUUUUUCGAUUUUCAGAUAUAUAUAUACAUAUUUCCUUAUUUUUAUCUAUUAAUAUAAACAUAAAAUAUAUAUUUUAAAAACUAAAAAAAAAACAUUACCACGCGGUGGCCGGCGCCGGCGACGAACAGCGGUCGGCGAUCGGCCGAUGACCGGCCCCCUGGCCGGAUUUCCCCCCUUGGCCGGAGCUCCUUUCCUCUCCCC
rnacentral:lncRNA from 1 species